rnacentral:lncRNA from 1 species
GGAACACAGGAGAGAUUGAAUGGGAGCCAAGAGACAGCAAAAGACCUGAUCUUGCCUCACAGAAGACAUCAGGCAAACAUUCCCCGGAUGUGAUGUCUCUCGAAACACUGGAGAACACGUGUGAGCCAGAGGACCUCUUUGAUGACAUCUAACUAUUUGUUGACUGAGAAACUGAGAGAAUAGAGCUCCUACUAGACACAAGCUCUAAAACUUAGAAGGCUUAGUUGUAGACACUAAGAUGAAGUCUUUACUGUAAGGUUGUAUUUGACAUGUGUGCAUUCUUCACUCCACAGUUGCAGACCCUUGACCUGCUGAGGCUUAAUUUGUGACAGCCUUGAAAUCAGUUCAGCUGGUCAGCCUCUGUGUAGAUCUUUUAUCAUCUGUAUAUUGGAAAAGAGAGCAUCACCACAGCAUUUUUACAUCCUAACAAUCUUUGGUUGCUGGUCAUAUUCAGGAUCAACUGGUUUCCAGAUGUCACCAGAGAAUAAGUCAGACAUGAAGAAGACUUAAAUCUACCACUGUACUUACCUUGUAUACUACCGCUUUCUUGUGAGAAGCUCAGCUUAGAUGCAGUCUAGCUAAAUCAUCUUCAACUUUGAUUGGGAUGUCUUCAAAAACUGAGUUUAAAAUGGUAUCAUCUGAAAUGAAACAUCCAAAGAAAUGUCAUUUUGCUUGUUACUUGAAGAUUCUCCGAGGCAUUAUGCAUUGUUUAUAG